rnacentral:lncRNA from 1 species
GCUAAAAGCCUUUCACUUAACCCCUUUACUCUCCAGUUAAAAUUAAAAAAAAACCCAUCCAGAUAAGCCUGGGAAAACUGCAUUGAAGCUGUGCUUUUAACCCAAAAAAUUUCUUGCUUCUUUUUCUAAGUGCUUUUUUUUUUCCUCUCUAGUAUUCAUGAUUUAUGUCCAAAAAUUCUUUCAACUUGUUUAAGAUUUCCUUUAAUGUACAAAAUCCAAUCCUUAAUUAAUAACCGGUUUUCUUUUACAGAAGAACUGUUAACUGCCUACCCAGUCACACAAUUAACAUGAUAUUUUCUUCUUUAGCCAUCCAGUGCUCCUAAGCAAACCAUUGCAGGCGUAACUUUUGCUAUCCACACUAUGCAGAUAUCCUCUGCUGGUGUUCUGCUCCUUUGUUAUAAUUACUCUACAAGUCUAUCUCCACAGGGGACCUGCUGCCACAGCUCCACCUGAGACAGCGCCAUCUACAGGGACCUACAAACAAAGCUGCCUUCCUCCAAAAAUCUCAUCUGGCUGAAAGAGAAAUGCUCCACAGAAGACAGACCUGGGACCUUCCAGCUACAGAUGUACUCUUUUGCUAAAGCCAAAUGGCUGUUGAACUUUGGGGAAAGUUAUAUGAUAGUGAGAAAAGCAUAAUGUCUAUCUGGAUUAAUUAACUGCUGUUCAAAAAUGGAUGUUAUUACCCUCAAAUUGUACUACCCAUGAAACUGUACAGUCUUUGCCUUCUCAACUCAAUCUCUUGCCUUUUCAACUCUACUACUCUGGCUUUGUUCUGCUACUUCUGUAGGCUAUAUAUUUUUUCUGAUAAUUCCAUUCUAAAUUUUCACAAUUAAUGACACAGUCACAUCAGUGACUCCCCUUUCUAAUAAAAAAGAGGGGGAAAUGUGGGGAAUUGCAGGCUGGUCUCCAGUUGAGCUGAGGUCUGAACCCCGAUGGCCAUAAUUCACCUACAUGACACAAUAGGUGUUCCCUCAUGCUCCUGGAAUUCUGGCCCCUGCCUAAGGCACCACCUCCCACAGCCCCCACAAGAGAAGCAUGGUCAGUAGUCAUGUAAGCAAUGGCCCAAGCUUCUGACCUUCAGCCUAAACUCCUCCCCAGUUACCUAGCAACAGUAAAGUCCAUAAAAAGGGCUGUUCAGCCCCCACAUAGCUCUCUUACUCCUUUUCUCACUUCUCUCUCUAUUUCUUUUUCUUUCCUCUCCUCUCUCCCUCUUUCUCUCUCCCUCUUUCUCUC